rnacentral:rRNA from 1 species
AUUGAACGCUGGCGGCAUGCCUUACACAUGCAAGUCGAACGGCAGCACGGGAGCAAUCCUGGUGGCGAGUGGCGAACGGGUGAGUAAUAUAUCGGAACGUGCCCAGUCGUGGGGGAUAACGUAGCGAAAGCUACGCUAAUACCGCAUACGAUCUAUGGAUGAAAGCGGGGGAUCGCAAGACCUCGCGCGAUUGGAGCGGCCGAUAUCAGAUUAGGUAGUUGGUGAAGUAAAGACUCACCAAGCCGACGAUCUGUAGCUGGUCUGAGAGGACGACCAGCCACACUGGGACUGAGACACGGCCCAGACUCCUACGGGAGGCAGCAGUGGGGAAUUUUGGACAAUGGGCGCAAGCCUGAUCCAGCAAUGCCGCGUGCAGGAUGAAGGCCUUCGGGUUGUAAACUGCUUUUGUACGGAACGAAACGGUGAGCUCUAAUACAGUUUGCUAAUGACGGUACCGUAAGAAUAAGCACCGGCUAACUACGUG